ACGUAGGUAAACAGUAUUCUAAAAUUAAUUUCUUAAAAUGUCCAAUAUCAGAACAUGGUCAUCGAACAAGAAGUGCUAGCAAGGCUUAUGAAAUUCUACAAUCUAAGGAUUGAGAUCUGCUACUAAAAGUAAUUCUUUCUUAGCAAUAUCAAGUAUAAUAGAAAGAGACCAGAAUACCAAAUUUUAUUUUGAAUCUGUUGUGUGUUAAAAUGGCCACUUACAUAACUCAACAUUCCCCUUCUUGGAAUGACCCAUCAAUUUCUAAAAGAAAACAGUGAUGUUGUUAUUGUCAUGCUGACUAGCAGCAUCUCAUAACUCCUUUACAGGCCUGAGCUCUGGAACCAGAAGGCAGGAAUUCCAAUCCCAGCCCCACCCUCCACUGAUGAUGGAACACUUGGCAAUUUAACUGCUUACUCAGUGCCUGCCUUUCCACCUAUAAAACAAGAUACAGUCCCUGCCUCACAGAACUGCUACAUGAAUUAAUUGGGUUAGCAUAUGUAAAGUGCUAGGAUGAUGCUCGCUCAGUAAAUGUCAGUUAGGGUUCAGCCGAGCCCUGAGAGCUGUGCUGAGCGAAGAGUCCUGGAACUGGUGCUGGGGACCAUUGGACAGGUCAAGUUUCCCUAAGUUGCUGGGGCUAGCCUUGAGCUUGAGAUCUUCCUACAUCAGCCUCCCCAGAAGCUGGAUCAAGGGCAUCCACCACCAUACCAGGUACUCAGGAAAUGCUAGGACCUGGAGAAGCCAUUCUCAAGUGACAUCCUAGAUCCAGUUAACAAAGGCCAACAACCACUGCUGCUCAUUCAGGAAUAAUAGCAAAUAAUUUUUCCAGAAAAUGGCUUUGGUUCAUAAAAGUCUCCUGACAUUCAAAGGUAGACUAUUUUUACUUCAGUACUUUGUCCUUUGGUAAGUGCUACAGAUUCCAUUCUGUGACUGAUAAUUUUGAAACAGAGACAGGUGAUUUAUUAUACACAUUGCUCUGGAAGCUUGCUCAAACUCAGAGAUGCU